AUAAAUAAAUAAAUAAAAAUAAAGGAAAAGAAGUGUAUACAGAACUAACGCCCUGAAGCCAGAGCCCAGAGAUGAAGCGAAGGCACUGUGUUCCGUGAACUACGGGGCUGGGGGGACGGAACCCACAGCCGGCCUGGAGCCUGGCGUCUCAGCCACUGGCCAGCUGGGCAGGAGCCCCUUCCCCGCCUCCCUGGCUUUGCGGGUGGUGGCCGUCCAGCCACUAGCACAGCCUCAGAGAUGGGUCCCUCAUUCCAGAACUUUCCAAUGGGGGCCCAUUGAUCCCAUGACCAAACAGACUGAGUGAACCCAGCUCCUGAACGGGCCUCCAACACCCCGGGCUCCGCCCACCAAGCACUGGCGGCCGAGUUCAUUCUCUGCCCCCCGGCAGCAACCCCCCAACUGUGUGGUUCCCCCCUCAGUCCGCUCUCGGGACCUGACCCAAGCUCGUACUCAGUGAAGCUUUGUUGAGUCACAGCAGAUGCCUGGGGAGAGCUCCUGACACGGAAACUCGGGUGAGCCCCAAGCCCUGCCGGCUUCCGGAACCUCUGGAAUGUUCUCCAACAGAACGAACAGCUCUGCGCCUGAUGUCGCCCAGUCGGGUUCCAGACAGGCACAGCCCGUACUGUAUCUGCAAAUCACGCCUCCCUGGUUUUCUCGUCUUUGCAUACAAGUCACAGGAAUGCUACUUGUUGGAUGAUGAUGCAAACCAAAUUUUUCCUUCUUUGUCCUCUGAUCGGUAAGUCAACGUCUUAUUUAUCUUUGUACAUCAGCAUAGUGUGUUGCAGAAAUCCUGGAAUGAGUUGGGCUAAUAAGUAUAGAAAGAAAAUCAGUUUGCAACUGAUCAUUUGGAAUUUGAAAUCCUGGGCUCAAGCGAUUCUCCCACCUCAGCCUUCUGAGUAGCUGGAACUACAAGCGCACACCACCAUCCCUGCCUAAAGUUUUAACUUUUGUUUUGUUUUGUUUUUAUU